GCAUAAGCGCACAGCUUCGCAUGAAGCAGUGUGAAAAACUCUGGUGGUAUACGAUGGAUCCGCGUCUGAUUAGCUAGUUGGCGGGGUAAAGGCCCACCAAGGCGACGAUCAGUAGCCGGCCUGGGAGGGUGAACGGCCACAUUGGGACUGAGACACGGCCCAAACUCCUACGGGAGGCAGCAGUGGGGAAUAUUGCACAAUGGGGGAAACCCUGAUGCAGCGACGCCGCGUGAGUGAAGAAGUAUUUCGGUAUGUAAAGCUCUAUCAGCAGGGAAGAAAGAAAUGACGGUACCUGACUAAGAAGCCCCGGCUAACUACGUGCCAGCAGCCGCGGUAAUACGUAGGGGGCAAGCGUUAUCCGGAUUUACUGGGUGUAAAGGGAGCGUAGACGGUUAUGCAAGUCUGGAGUGAAAGGCGGGGGCCCAACCCCCGGACUGCUUUGGAAACUGUGUAACUGGAGUGCAGGAGAGGUAAGUGGAAUUCCUAGUGUAGCGGUGAAAUGCGUAGAUAUUAGGAGGAACACCAGUGGCGAAGGCGGCUUACUGGACUGUAACUGACGUUGAGGCUCGAAAGCGUGGGGAGCAAACAGGAUUAGAUACCCUGGUAGUCCACGCCGUAAACGAUGAUCACUAGGUGU
rnacentral:rRNA from 1 species